AGGUAGGGAAAAUUUUGGGGUAUGACAGCUGCCUCUAUUUAAUUAUGUUGGACCUGAAUGUAUGAAUAGAAACAACUUUCAAGCAUUCGAGGUAGGAGUGGAUUAAAUACAAAGAUCCAAAAAUUCGCACUCCGAAGAGAAGAGAUAGGUAUAAGUGUUUAUGAUGUUUUUUUUUGUUUUACCUCAACUAAUGAGCUUUGGCAGAUAUUAGUAGUUGAGAUAUUCCCACAAGGUUCCACAAAG
rnacentral:lncRNA from 1 species